rnacentral:rRNA from 1 species
GAUGAACGCUGGCGGCGUGCCUAAUACAUGCAAGUCGAGCGAACAGACGAGGAGCUUGCUCCUCUGACGUUAGCGUCGGACGGGUGAGUAACACGUGGAUAACCUACCUAUAAGACUGGGAUAACUUCGGGAAACCGGAGCUAAUACCGGAUAAUAUAUUGAACCGCAUGGUUCAAUAGUGAAAGACGGUUUUGCUUUCACUUAUAGAUGGAUCCGCGCCGCAUUAGCUAGUUGGUAAGGUAACGGCUUACCAAGGCGCCGAUGCGUAGCCGACCUGAGAGGGUGAACGGCCACACUGGAACUGAGACACGGUCAAGACUCCUACGGGAGGAAGCAGUAGGGAAUCUUCCGCAAAGGGCGAAAGCCUGACGGAGCAAAGCCGCGUGAGUGAUGAAGGUCUUCGGAUCGUAAAACUCUGUUAUUAGGGAAGAACAAAUGUGUAAGUAACUAUGCACGUCUUGACGGUACCUAAUCAGAAAGCCACGGCUAACUACGUG